rnacentral:lncRNA from 1 species
UGGAGCCAGAUAAUCAAUGAUGAAAAAAUACCUGAUACAUUCUCUACACUCAUGGCAAUGGAUCUACUGAGAGAAACAAACAAAAAACAGAUAAACCUAAUCUAAAAUCAUAUGCAGCAUGUGUAUCACCUUCCUAAGGCUGCUACAAGAAAUUCCUACAAACCUGCUAUGGUUUUAAAUAAUGUAAAUUCAUUCCCCUACAGUUCUGGAGCUAAGUUGGAAGUCAAGGUAUGAGCCA